CACAUGCUUUGUGGGAUACUAAAAUUGCCUGCUCUACAUGAAUCUACCCGCAGCCCUGAAUACAAGCCACGCAAGCUUGGCACGCCCGUCGGUGAUGCAGGGCUUGCCAGCAUGUGAUGCUUGCAAAGCUUAUGUUUGGCACUGGGACUAAAAUAAUUGUUUCCUGUCACUCAAGGUGGGGCAAGAGCAAGAGAGGGCAGAAGUUCGUGGGGCGUGCCUUGAGGCCGCGGCUGCCCUGUGGCAGGUAGGAGUCCCUGUUCACCCAGUGCAUGCAGUCCAUGUGCACCGCAGACCUGCACACGAGUACAACAAAAAUAUUCCCCUUCAGAGAUACUCACGCAGGCCAGACAGACCUCCCUCUUCCUCUGAGGUCAGGGCAAGGGUGGACAUCCGAGGAGUUUCCCUGUUGCAGGCAUUUAGCGGUUGGUUGCAUGGGCGCGCCUGGAGAGGCAC
rnacentral:lncRNA from 1 species